UGCGGGUGCGUGUGUGUGUGUGUGUGUGUGUGUGUAACACACUCUCCCUCCCGGAGCCUCCCAGCCUCACUGCCCGC
rnacentral:miRNA from 1 species